rnacentral:rRNA from 1 species
GACGAACGCUGGCGGCGUGCUUAACACAUGCAAGUCGAACGGUGAAGCGCCUUCCUUUUUGGUGGGUGUGGAUGAGUGGCGAACGGGUGAGUAACACGUGAGUAACCUGCCCCCUUCUUCUGGAUAACCGCAUGAAAGUGUGGCUAAUACGGGAUAUUCUGGGUCUGUCGCAUGAUGGGUCUGGGAAAGAUAUUGUUUCGGUGGGGGAUGGGCUCGCGGCCUAUCAGCUUGUUGGUGGGGUGAUGGCCUACCAAGGCGGUGACGGGUAGCCGGCCUGAGGGGGUGGACGGUCACACUGGGACUGGGACACGGCCCAGACUCCUACGGGAGGCAGCAGUGGGGAAUAUUGCACAAUGGGCGCAAGCCUGAUGCAGCGACGCCGCGUGAGGGAUGGAGGCCUUCGGGUUGUGAACCUCUUUCGCCAGUGAAGCAGGCCUGCCUCGUUUGUGGGUGGGUUGACGGUAGCUGGAUAAGAAGCGCCGGCUAACUACGU